ensembl:lncRNA
GUCCAAAUUUUGUAGCAAUUGGUGAAGUAGUUUGGGAGAUAUGAGGUCCCCACAAAUGGAUAUUACAUUUUUAUUUAUAUAGAUGUAUUCUGGAAUACAUAUGAUAUAAUUUCUUUGUGAACAUGUCUGUUUUCUUAUUUAGAACAAGUGAGCAAACUUGUUCUACCAUCUGUUUCUACUCCCCCUUAUGUCCAUAUUAUCAUUAAGGAGGAAGUUCUAAUUGUAAACUGAUGUCUUUUAAUCAAAAUGGAGAAGAGAAAAAUCAGAAUUAUAUUGCUUAAUAGUCAACACUAUUGAUCUUAAGUUUAAUAAUAAUGAAUGUUACCAACAUCUACUGCAUAAAGAUAUUGACUUUGUAGACAGUAGAGGGCAAUAGAGAUGCACUUUUCCACUAUAAUUGCAAAGACUCUUCAGAUGAAUUUAUCCCUCCUUUUAUAAAGAAAAGGAGGAGUAGAUAGGAUCUCUUGGGCAGUUUACAAAUCGGGAUCUGUCUCUGAUAGACAACCAGGAAAUCAAGCAGCAAGUGGAAGAACCUACAUAAAGUUUUAAAAUACAUCUUCAUUGGAACUUAUUGCAAAUUGAAUAGUCAAGAAAGGAUUGAGAAGUGCAAGGAUGCAGUAGUGGGAAUGGAACUGCAAAGAGGAUUUCAUUUCAAAGAGCCUUCAGAUGACAGAGGUUUUGCCUUGACUCUGAAUUCGAAGCUAAAUGAGAAAACAGACUGAAGCAUUAUGUGUUCCUCAGGAAUAUCCUCCUGCAGGCUGUGAUGGCAGAGGAACUCACAGCCACUCCCAGUGUGGAUCCCAGCCUGCCUCUCUUCAGCUAAUCAGAAGAGGGGGUAAAAAGUCUGAAUUAGCUGUUAGAACUGCAUUAAAUGUCAUUUAUUUUUCUGUGAAUUUGUGCUUAUACCUUUUGAAAUGUAUUCCUUGUAUUUGCAUCCUAUUUGGUCAAAUUAUAAUAAAGUUCUGUAGGGUUGCCAUCGACCCAGAGUGCUUGUUCUCAAUCUGGGCUGAUCUGUUUUAGCAGAAGUUCACCGAGCAAGGACCUCCUUAUCUGUGCUCCUAGCUGAAAUCUCUACAUAUCUACACUGUAGAGUUAAUGCAAUUUAAUAUCACUGCCACAGCUCAAAGCUAUGGAAUAAUUAGAGUUGUAUGUUUUAAUGAAUUUAAUUGCAAUAAUGCUGUAACUUUGUUAUUUCUCUCUCAGUGUAAUUGAUUUAUUUGCAUUUGUUUAAACUUUUGUAAGACAGUUUAGAUCUCAAUAUUGUGGAAAAUUAAUAAGACUGAAUAAAUGAAGUCAUCCACUGAAUCAAAAUAAAGUCAACACUGCAGCUUCUGCUAUUGCUUCACUGGGAAUUAUAAGUAUGUGUGUGUCUUCAAAUCACCUGUCUACUUACGAUGAUUUUCAUAGGGUUUUACCAAACCCUUCCCCUUAAAUAUAACCUAUAUAGGUAUUGAUUGGGUAUCUCUCAUCCAAGUAUUAACCAGCACUAACUUUACUUAGCAUCCAAGAUCAGACCAGAUCUAGUUAUUUUGACCACAUAGCAAUGACUUCUAAAAAGCAGCAUUUGAAGCUCAGCAACUAUUUUAUUUUGGACAUUUUUCAUCUUGUAGCAAUCUAGGAAAGAACUCUGAAGUGUUGUUCAAAUUCACUCUGCAAAUCAAGAAAGGGGUCAAUAAUGCCUGCAAAGGCUUUCUGAUAGAAGAAGUAUUGUAGGCAAGUAUUUCAAUUUAGCUUUAGUGUAUUUGUUGGCUCUUGCUGAAUAUGUAACUACAUUAACUAUGCCAAAUGUUUUCAUGAGCUCUUGGGAUAUAUUUAGAGUAGAUUUCCUCUGGAAAAAGGAGCAAGUAAAAUGUUUUAAAUAAGGGCAGGAAGCCUGAGACUGCCACCAAAACUGAGGAGCAAUAGGAAGAAAUGAUUGGGAAGCGUUUUUUUCAUUGAACAGAAAGGUUGACAGUUGUCAGUUGAAGAUGAUCUGAGUGCUCUACAGCUGAUAAAACAUAUAUGAGAUUUUGAAAUAGUGGGGGGAUUAUGCUGACAGUUUUCAAUGUGAGUUCAAGGAAAUUGUGCAAAGUAAGACAUGAAUGUGUAGCCUCGGCUCCAUAUGUGAGGUACGAGUCUCCAUAUGUUGAUGAACUACUACUCCCAUUAUCCCUCACUUUGGUCAGGCUUCUGAGCUGGAUUUCAUUAGGCCCACCAAGUUAUGCAUUAGAAAAAGAUCCUAGGGUGAUGGUAAAUAAUCUCAAUGUUUCACAUUCUGGUUGAUUGUUCAGUGUGCUGGUAAGGUUUUUUCCAAGAAGGAAGCCCCACGAUUUCUAUGUGUGCAUUGUAAUUGUCAAAGGUUAUCCAAAGCACAAAUAUGCCUGGUGCCUAUUGUUUAAAUUUGACUAAGUAAACUGGAUUUGCACCAAGUACAAAGAGGUCAUCAGUUUCAGGUUCAAUCAUACAGCUGAAUUCACCUUGCACUGACUUGUUAACAUUUCAUAUCUUAAGAUGAAUUUAAUUUAACUGUAUGUUAAUAUUUUUAUUAUAAGAUUUUAAAAUAGUAUUGUGCUUUUAUAAUGUUGUAUGGCAUUUAGAUUUCAUGCUGGAAGAAAGGCAGGAUAUCAGUCAAUUAGAGUACAGCCAGUCCUCAAGUUACAAACAUACGAUUAACAAACAACUCAUAGUUAAGAACAAUGGUGAGACCAAAGGAAGUGAGGGAAAUCUACCCCUUAGAAAGGAAAUUCAUUCUUGAAAAAGUUAUCAUGUGAAAGAGUUUCCACAGAAGCCUUAUCAACAAUCCUUGUUUCCACAACAAGCCAAAUGUUUCAAAAUCCAUUAGCAUAGAGACAGAAAGUGAGGUGAAAUCUUCUGAGAAGGGGCACAGACAGCAAAACAAAUACCACAGCAGCGUUAACCCUUCCCUAUGCUAUCAAACCUACAGAAUCUAUCUUGUUCAUAACCUGGGGACUGCCUGUAUAGUGUAGCAUGCCCUUGAUAGCUGCUGGGGUUUGGUUCCAUAAUCUGCCAUGGAUACUAAAAUAUACGGAUGCUUAUUAUGUAGGGUGGUGUAGUAAAAUGGUGUCCCUUAUACAAAAUAUCAAAAUCAAGGCUUGUUUUUUGGAAAGUAUAUAUACACACGCACACACACACACACACACACAUCACACACACACAUUUUCAAGCUCUGGAUGGUUGAAUCCAUGGAUAGAGAGAAUUAGCUGUAUAGAGGUCAAGGUCCCAUGCAAGGCCAUAGCCAGAAAAAAAUUUGGGAGGGGGGUUGAAACUUUUUUUUUUUUUUAGCGAAUCAUGAAGAAUAGUUCCAUCAUGAAAAAUAAUUUAGAAAUCAGGCUCCAUCGAUAAACUUCAAUGAACACUCAAGACAGAUAAACAUCAGUGGACACUCAUGGGGAUUUGUUUAACCAGUUAAAUUUCAUGAGUAAAUCACGUUUCUUUUAAAAAAAACAACCUGAAAAUUUUUUCCCUUGCCCGUGCAUGCGCAUUAUACUUCCAUGCGGCAAGCAUGCCUGCUCUCCUCUCCCUGUUUGGAGUCUCAGAAACAACCCUUCACUUGGCUGAGAGCCCAGCUGAGAGGCUGGCCAAUCACAGCAGGAGAAGGGCUUUUGGUGGGAGCAUUUGCAGUCUGUUUCCACAAAGGAAGAGAAAGAUAGGCAAAGAGAUCUUCAGCCUUCUCUGCCAAAGGGGUUCCUAAGACCAUCAGAAAGAUGUGCUUUCUGAUGGUCUUUGGAGAGCCCUCCCCCUACCGAUCUCCAGGUUGAGAACCACUGCACUAAAGUAGUGGCUCUCAACCUGUGGGUCCCCAGAUGUUUUUGUCAGAGCGCGCAGUUUGGAUAAACACACAUGCAGCGGAAGAUCAACGAAGAAUCACUGGCACCAAUAAAUAGGCUGAAGCCUGUUUGGCUUUCUACAAAAGAUUUACUGACAAACGGAAAAACUCUAAAGACGACAUAUACAUACAGAGUGCAAAUAGGCAGAGGGCAGAGGGCAGAGGGAGGAACAGAUAACACAGGGAGCUAUUUAUAAACACGUCUGCUGUCUGAUGCAAUACAGUUAACUCUUUACACAGUCGCAUAGUGGACAGCAGACAGCAUGAUGCAAUCUCCAGCUCACAUUGCAACACUAUAACUCAAUUACAUAUAAAC